UUUUAGCGGCGGACGGGUGAGUAACGUGUGGGCAACCUGCCUUUUACUGGGGAAUAAUCACUGGAAACGGUGACUAAUACCGCAUAAUAUUCUUGGAAGGCAUCUUCCGAGAAGGAAAGGAAAUAUUCGGUAAAAGAUGGGCCCGCAUCUGAUUAGCUAGUUGGUGAGAUAACAGCCCACCAAGGCGACGAUCAGUAGCCGACCUGAGAGGGUGACCGGCCACAUUGGGACUGAGACACGGCCCAAACUCCUACGGGAGGCAGCAG
rnacentral:rRNA from 1 species